rnacentral:rRNA from 1 species
UGGGGAAUAUUGGACAAUGGGCGCAAGCCUGAUCCAGCAAUGCCGCGUGAGUGAUGAAGGCCUUCGGGUUGUAAAGCUCUUUCGCCUGCGAGGAUGAUGACGGUAGCAGGAGAAGAAGCCCCGGCUAACUUCGUGCCAGCAGCCGCGGUAAUACGAAGGGGGCGAGCGUUGUUCGGAUUUACUGGGCGUAAAGGGCGCGUAGGCGGCGAUGUAAGUCAGGCGUGAAAGCCCCGGGCUCAACCUGGGAAUUGCGCUUGGGACUACAUUGCUGGAGUUCGGGAGAGGAGCGUGGAAUUCCCAGUGUAGAGGUGAAAUUCGUAGAUAUUGGGAAGAACACCGGUGGCGAAGGCGGCGCUCUGGACCGAAACUGACGCUGAGGCGCGAAAGCGUGGGGAGCAAACAGGAUUAGAUACCCUGGUAGUCCACGCUGUAAACGAUGUGCGCUGGAUGUUGGGCGACCUAGUCGCUCAGUGUCGUAGCUAACGCGAUAAGCG